AUGCUGACCUCCAGGCCGGCAGGAGGGAAGGGGCUGGGUGGUUUCCUUCCUGGGGGUUUUAGAGUUCCCUCUCAGCUCUGCAAACAUCACAUCAUCAGCAUUGCCUUCAGAUGCUCAGAGAGCACGGAGCCACUAGCUUCAUCAUCACCUCUAGACUGUCCGAGUCCCAGUGAGUUCAGGCCUACAAAAGACCAUUUACUGAGCAGCACACGAAAGCGGAGGUAAACGAGGAAGCCAGGCCAGCUGCUGCAAGAGACAGACGCAGGGCUGGGUGAGACCACGAGGCCUGUGGCAGAGGCCUUGACGGGCCACUGAGCCACCUGGAGGAGGGCAGUGAUGUGAAAGCAGGUAUGGGCUGUGCCAGCAGUGUCGAGAGCACGGUGAGAGCUAGGCUGUAGGCUGAGCUGCCCACGGUUGUUCCCAAGCUCUCAUGGUCUUUCUUGGCCUUGGAUUCUGCUGUCCAACGAGGCUUGCAUACAGAACUUGCUUGGGG
rnacentral:lncRNA from 1 species